rnacentral:rRNA from 1 species
GUCCACGCCCUAAACGAUGGGGACUAAGUGUCGGAGGUAUCGACCCCUCCGGUGCCGCAGCUAACGCAUUAAGUCCCCCGCCUGGGGAGUACGGCCGCAAGGUUGAAACUCAAAGGAAUUGACGGGGCCCGCACAAGCGGUGGAGCAUGUGGUUUAAUUCGACGCAACGCGAAGAACCUUACCCAGACUUGACAUGUGAGUGGUAGUGAACCGAAAGGGGAACGACCCCGCAAGGGGAGCUUACACAGGUGCUGCAUGGCUGUCGU